rnacentral:lncRNA from 1 species
GGCAAGUAAUUCAAGAAGGAGUUUUUUAUAUUCUGAUUUGGAUUUGGCUUCUGCAAGUUUAAAACUGAUGGAGGUUUUUUGUUGGAUAAAUUUGUUUGUAGGAGGUUCAGGGGAAAUUUUGAAAAUCCAUUCAAGGACUUUAGAUUUGGCGGCUUUCUUAGGAUUAAACUCUUGCCAUCACUUUACUUUGAACUUUCUUCCAAGGGCAGCAGGAAAUGGAGGGUUUUGGACAAAAGUGUAUUCCCAACAAAUGAUCCAUGA